ACCCUAUAACCACAGUCAUUGGAAGUUCAAUUCUAAGGAGGAGCUUGGUUUGGUUUGUCUCAAAGCCAUGCAAGAUACGAAAGUAGAACUAGAGCUUUGGCGCAAGAAUUUCUAAUAGAAUAUCACUACUAAAAAAAAAAACUUAACCGAAGCAUUUGGCAAAGGGGCUUAGAGGCGUGUGGGCUUUUGAAUUGCCUUAGUUAAUGACUUGAAUUAACCAAGACGGUUAUUUUUAUUAACCAAGAC
rnacentral:lncRNA from 1 species